rnacentral:rRNA from 1 species
AUAUCAGUCAUGCAUAGCAUAUCAAUAAGCGGAGGAAAAGAAACUAACAAGGAUUCCCCUAGUAACGGCGAGUGAAGCGGGAAGAGCUCAAAUUUGAAAUCUUAAAAGGUUUUCCUUUUACGAAUUGUAGUUUAAAGAAGUGUUUUCUGUUGAAAUUUUAGUAAAAGUUCUUUGGAAUAGGACAUCAUAGAGGGUGAGAAUCCCGUAUUUGACUAGAAUUUUUCAACUUUGUGAUACACUUUCAAAGAGUCGGAUUGUUUGGGAAUGCAGUCCAAAAUGGGUGGUAAAUUUCAUCUAAAGCUAAAUAUUGGCGAGAGACCGAUAGCGAACAAGUACCGUGAGGGAAAGAUGAAAAGAACUUUGAAAAGAGAGUUAAACAGUACGUGAAAUUGUCAAAAGGGAAGCGUUUGGACACCAGUGUUGUUUUUCUGAAAAUCAAUUAAAGAACUUGUUUAUGCUAAGCUUUUUAGACUUUAAUCAGGCUAAUCAUUUUAGUUUUUGUACUUUCUUGAAUGCACUUUUCAGUUAACAAGUCAACAUCAAUUUCUUUUGCUGUAAAAAAGCUUGAGGAAGGUGGCUUGAGAUUCGUCUUAAGUGUUUAUAGCCUCUUGCCUAUGCAGUCGGAGAGAUUGAGGUCUGCAGCGUAGAUCCUUCGGGGCUAAAUGCAUUUGUGCUAAGUUAUAGCAUUUUAUAGACAACUUGUUGACUAUGAUUUGUCUUGUAGCUUACUCGCUUAUGUUAUUUUACCUACGCUUAGGAUGUUGACGCAUGAGAUAUACGC